GGAGGGAUACUCAAGUCUGGUUUAAGAGGGUUAUCUUUAUUUGAUAAUUAGGAGCAUUCUUGCUUGCGUUGGUUCAAAUCCUUCUCCCUCCG
rnacentral:tRNA from 1 species